AGUGAACGCUGGCGGUAGGCCUAACACAUGCAGGUCGAACGGCAGCACAGUAAGAGCUUGCUCUUACGGGUGGCGAGUGGCGGACGGGUGAGGAAUACAUCGGAAUCUACUUUUUCGUGGGGGAUAACGUAGGGAAACUUACGCUAAUACCGCAUACGACCUACGGGUGAAAGCAGGGGGUCUUCGGACCUUGCGCGAUUGAAUGAGCCGAUGUCGGAUUAGCUAGUUGGCGGGGUAAAGGCCCACCAAGGCGACGAUCCGUAGCUGGUCUGAGAGGAUGAUCAGCCACACUGGAACUGAGACACGGUCCAGACUCCUACGGGAGGCAGCAGUGGGGAAUAUUGGACAAAGGGCGCAAGCCUGAUCCAGCCAUACCGCGUGGGUGAAGAAGGCCUUCGGGUUGUAAAGCCCUUUUGUUGGGAAAGAAAAGCAGCAGGUUAAUACCCCGCUGUUCUGACGGUACCCAAAGAAUAAGCACCGGCUAACUUCGUG
rnacentral:rRNA from 1 species